AUGGCACUACGUUUUGGCUUAUUACUUGCACAAAAGGCGGGAAGCAACCGACUUGUUAUUAACUCCGACAAUAUGAAAGUAAUUGACGCGAUGAAGAAUGAAGGACAUACAGCAGGAGCGGUGGCAGCUGUGUUUGAUGAUUGUUAUUUUAUGGCUUGUGAUUAUCUGUUAGUUAGAUUUGAACAUUGUAAUAGAAAGAAAAAUAAAGUAGCUCAUGAAUUUGCUAGAGUAGCUAAAUUUUCUGAGACAAGGGAUUGAUUUGAGGAACCUAUGAACGAUAUUGUAAAUUUUCUUAUAAACGAUGUAAUCAUUAUUACUAAUAAAUAA
rnacentral:rRNA from 1 species